UAUAUGGCGUUGAUUAGAAGUAGUAAUAAUUAUUAUAUCUUAAGAGAACUAUUGGAUGGUGUAAAAUAGUGUUAUAUGAUUAUGAACUUGUCUAUGAGCUUACUUGUUAGAAGCAGGUACGGGUAAUCCCGUUAUAAUGUCGAGUGAAAAGAUUUAGUUUAUCUAUUUCUUUUAAUAAGAGUGGUACCACGGAAAUUACGCUUUCGUCUCUUAA
rnacentral:ncRNA from 1 species